AGACUGGGCACCCAUUAUUAUUAGACAGGAGCCUUCAUAUAGGAAGCAGACUGGGCACCCAGUAUUAUUAUUAUUAUUAUUAUUAAUAUUAGACAGGAGCCUUCAUAUAAGAAGCAGACUGGGCACCCAGUAUUAUUAUUAUUAUUAUUAUUAGACAGGAGCCUUCAUAUAAGAAGCAGACUGGGCACCCAGUAUUAUUAUUAUUAUUAGACAGGAGCCUUCAUAUAGGAAGCAGACUGGGCAUCCAGUGUUAUUAUUAUUAUUAUUA